AUGAAUAAGUAAAGGAAUUUUUUUAUGAUUGAUUACAUAAAGGGUACUAUGAAGCUUUUCAAGUUAAUAUAAUCCUUUAAAAUUUUGCUUAAUCCCUUACAGAUUUCACGUAAUCCUCCGAGACACUGGCAGAUCCUUUUCACAAGCAGUCGUAUCCUUUAAUUCACCCCUUUAUCCUUUACAAAUUAAAUUUUUUUACUCUAACUUAUAAUGGCCGUACUUUUAAAAACUUUCGUCAGGCGUGGCAUUCAGUUUCGCUAGGCGAUCAACAAUUUCGUACUGUUAAAACCAGUGACAGACGUCGCCAGACUUUGGUCGGGCGAUGGAAUCGUAUUGGAAUAGUAUGGCGAACGUAAGUAGCCGAGAGGCCUCUCUUUCCCGUAAGUGAGAAACAAUUUUUUUCCUACAAAUUAUAUAUUUUUUUUAAUAAAUUAAAUAGAAUACACAUUAUAGUUUUUAAACUCUGAAUAGAACAAUGUAGUAAAGAAAAUACUAUACUCGCAUUGCUUUCUCAAGACCAUCGUGAUUCUAGCGGGAGAUCAAGACAACACCAGGCGCCCCAAAUUAUGGAUUCACUGGUAGAAUUUGAAGAGCUGGAAGUGCUUGAGGAUGCAGAAGGAGAAAGUCAACCGAGACAAAUUUUGAAAGACCACUUGGAUUUGUUUACAGAUCCAAUUUACAUCUGGGUUCCACAUUUGGAGUCCUGAAACAAAGAUUCCGUUGUCUUGCCAUACCCAUGCGGACAAAUUUGGACACAAACAUGGCUAAAAUUUGUACUGCUGCUGUUUUGCACAAUAUUGAAAUUAAAUAUAGGAAUGAUUUGGAUAACUAUGAUGAUGGUGAUGGUAAUGAUAAGGAUGAUAGUGGUGAUGAUGGUAACAAUGAAGAUGAACAGGAUUUGGUUGAUAAAAAUGCACAAAAUAGGAAUGCUGAACAAAGAAAGAUAACAAAUACGAGUAUAAUCAAUAGUAUGUUCUGAAACCUGUCCUUUAAGGGACUGCCACCAUAUCUUUUUCUCACAUAUUUCAUGACCUUUAAGCUGAUAAGUUCUCAAAAAAUGUAAAUAUCAGGAUGUAUAUAAAAUAGUUUACAUUUUCAUACUCAAUCAUUGCCUGGUCCAGAGAGGCCUAUUUAUGUUUUUUUUUUUUUUUCAGCUCUGCUAGUGGUAUUGAGAACAUAUCAAUUGCCAGAAUUGCUCAACAUUUGCAUACAUGGUCCAUGAUAUAUGAUACAUGUCACCCUAAACAGUAUUACCAUAUAUACCUUCACUCCAUUUAUAAAUUAUAUUUAGAUACAAUAUGUUAAUGAAAAACAAAUGUUUUCUUCCGUUUUUUUUUUUUUUUUCGAGCCAGCUUUUUUGAUGGGUUAAUAAUAAUAAUAUAAAACAUUA